UUGAACGCUGGCGGCAGGCCUAACACAUGCAAGUCGAACGGUAACAGGAAGAAGCUUGCUUCUUUGCUGACGAGUGGCGGACGGGUGAGUAAUGUCUGGGAAACUGCCUGAUGGAGGGGGAUAACUACUGGAAACGGUAGCUAAUACCGCAUAACGUCGCAAGACCAAAGAGGGGGACCUUCGGGCCUCUUGCCAUCGGAUGUGCCCAGAUGGGAUUAGCUAGUAGGUGGGGUAACGGCUCACCUAGGCGACGAUCCCUAGCUGGUCUGAGAGGAUGACCAGCCACACUGGAACUGAGACACGGUCCAGACUCCUACGGGAGGCAGCAGUGGGGAAUAUUGCACAAUGGGCGCAAGCCUGAUGCAGCCAUGCCGCGUGUAUGAAGAAGGCCUUCGGGUUGUAAAGUACUUUCAGCGGGGAGGAAGGGAGUAAAGUUAAUACCUUUGCUCAUUGACGUUACCCGCAGAAGAAGCACCGGCUAACUCCGUGCCAGCAGCCGCGGUAAUACGGAGGGUGCAAGCGUUGCUCGGAAUCACUGGGCGUAAAGGGCGCGUAGGCGGGAUGGCAAGUCAGUCGUGAAAUCUCUCGGCCCAACCGAGAAACGUCGGCUGAUACUGCCGUUCUUGAGGGAUGCAGAGGAGACUGGAAUUCCCGGUGUAGCGGUGAAAUGUGUAGAGAUCGGGAGGAACACCGGUGGCGAAGGCGGGUCUCUGGGCAUUUCCUGACGCUGAGGCGCGAAAGCGUGGGGAGCAAACGGGAUUAGAUACCCCGGUAGUCCACGCUGUAAACGAUGACGACUAGGUGUGGGGUGGGUUAGUCCAUUCCGUGCCGCAGCUAACGCAUUAAGUCGUCCGCCUGGGGAGUACGGCCGCAAGGUUGAAACUCAAAGGAAUUGACGGGGGCCCGCACAAGCGGUGGAGCAUGUGGUUCAAUUCGAUGCAGAGCGAAGAACCUUACCUGGGCUUGACAUGCUGGAAGUAGAAACCCGAAAGGGCAACGACCUGUUAAGUCAGGAGCCAGCACAGGUGGUGCAUGGCUGUCGUCAGCUCGUGCCGUGAGGUGUUGGGUUAAGUCCCGCAACGAGCGCAACCCUCACCCUAUGUUGCCAACGGUUCGGCCGGGCACUCUUAGGGAACUGCCGGCGAAGAGCUGGAGGAAGGGGGGGAUGACGUCAAGUCCGUAUGCCCCUUAUGUCCAGGGCUACACACAUGCUACAAUGGUCGGUACAGAGGGUUGCCAACCCGCAAGGGGGAGCCAAUCCCAGAAAGCCGAUCUCAGUUCGGAUUGUAGGCUGCAACUCGCCUACAUGAAGUAGGAAUCGCUAGUAAGCGCAGAUCAGCAGGCUGCGCUGAAUACGUUCCCG
rnacentral:rRNA from 1 species